AUUGAACGCUAGCGGGAUGCCUUACACAUGCAAGUCGAACGGAGUGGCGAAAGGGUGAGUAAUGUAUCGGAACGUGCCCAGUAGCGGGGGAUAACUACGCGAAAGCGUAGCUAAUACCGCCUACUAUUGGAGCGGCCGAUAGCGGAUUAGCUAGGUGGGGGGGUAACGGAUCACCAAGGCGACGAUCCGUAGCUGGUUUGAGAGGACGACCAGCCACACGGGGACUGAGACACGGCCCAUACUCCUACGGGAGGCAGCAUUGGGGAAUUUUGGACAAUGGGGGAAACCCUGAUCAAGCCAUCCCGCGUGGGCGAUGAAGGCCUUCGGGUUGUAAAGCAUUUUUUGCAGGAAAGCGGUACCUGCAGAAUAAGCACCGGCUAACUACGUGCCAGCAGCCGCGGUAAUUC
rnacentral:rRNA from 1 species